CAUGUUUGACACCCUCGGGAUGCCUGGACAACCAUCUUCAUAAGAUGGUUCGAAAGAAUUCCUAUGCCCUGGUGGCCCGUACUUCCGGUAAACCAUCAGGAAGACCCUCAGGGGUGCAGCUUUGGAAAACCCUCAGGGGUUGGAGUUUUUAUUCGAAAAUAUUUUUUAUUUGUUCGUCCCCAAGUGCGGUGGAGGGCGACGACCCACCUACUUGGAUGCCUGGGAUCUAAGUGGAUGAUGUCCCUACUGUCCCAGAGGUUUAUGUUCCCCAAGUGUGGUGGAGGGCGACGACCCACCUACUUGGAUGCCUAGGAUCUAAGUGGAUGAUGUCCCUACUGUCCUAGAUGCCUGGGAUUUAAGUAGAUGAUUUCCCUACUGUCCCGGAGGUUGAUCGUCCCCAAGUGCGGUGGAGGGCGACGACCCACCUACUUGGAUGCCUAGGAUUUAAGUGGAUGAUGUCCCUACUGUCCUAGAUGCCUGGGAUUUAAGUAGAUGAUUUCCCUACUGUCCCGGAGGUUGAUCGUCCCCAAGUGCGGUGGAGGGCGACGACCCACCUACUUGGAUGCCUAGGAUUUAAGUGGAUGAUGUCCCUACUGUCCUAGAUGCCUGGGAUUUAAGUAGAUGAUUUCCCUACUGUCCCGGAGGUUGUUCGUCCCCAAGUGCGGUGGAGGGCGACGACCCACCUACUUGGAUGCCUAGGAUUUAAGUGGAUGAUGUCCCUACUGUCCUAGAUGCCUGGGAUUUAAGUAGAUGAUUUCCCUACUGUCCCGGAGGUUGUUCGUCCCCAAGUGCGGUGGAGGGCGACGACCCACCUACUUGGAUGCCUAGGAUUUAAGUGGAUGAUGUCCCUACUGUCCUAGAUGCCUGGGAUUUAAGUAGAUGAUUUCCCUACUGUCCCGGAGGUUGUUCGUCCCCAAGUGCGGUGGAGGGCGACGACCCACCUACUUGGAUGCCUAGGAUUUAAGUGGAUGAUGUCCCUACUGUCCUAGAUGCCUGGGAUUUAAGUAGAUGAUUUCCCUACUGUCCCGGAGGUUGUUCGUCCCCAAGUGCGGUGGAGGGCGACGACCCACCUACUUGGAUGCCUAGGAUCUAAGUGGAUGAUGUCCCUACUGUCCUAGAUGCCUGGGAUUUAAGUAGAUGAUUUCCCUACUGUCCCGGAGGUUGUUCGUCCCCAAGUGCGGUGGAGGGCGACGACCCACCUACUUGGAUGCCUAGGAUCUAAGUGGAUGAUGUCCCUACUGUCCUAGAUGCCUGGGAUUUAAGUAGAUGAUUUCCCUACUGUCCCGGAGGUUGUUCGUCCCCAAGUGCGGUGGAGGGCGACGACCCACCUACUUGGAUGCCUGGGAUCUAAGUGGAUGAUGUCCCUACUGUCCCAGAGGUUUAUGUUCCCCAAGUGUGGUGGAGGGCGACGACCCACCUACUUGGAUGCCUGGAAUCUAAGUGGAUGAUUUCCCUACUGUUCCAGAGGUUGUU
rnacentral:lncRNA from 1 species